rnacentral:rRNA from 1 species
AUGAACGCUGGCGGCGUGCCUAAUACAUGCAAGUCGGACGCAUCUCAAAUGAGAUGAGUGGCGAACGGGUGAGUAAUACAUAAGUAACCUGCCCUCGAGCGGGGGAUAACUAUUAGAAGUGAUAGCUAAUACCGCAUAGGCAUGACACUCGCAUGAGUGACAUGUCAAAGAUCCCAAGGGAUCGCCCGAGGAUGGACUUAUGACGCAUUAGCUAGUUGGUGAGGUAACGGCUCACCAAGGCGACGAUGCGUAGCCGGCCUGAGAGGGUGGACGGCCACACUGGGACUGAGACACGGCCCAGACUCCUACGGGAGACAGCAGUUAGGAAUAUUCGGCAAUGGGGGAAACCCUGACCGAGCAAUGCCGCGUGUGAGAUGAAGGUCCUUUGGAUUGUAAAUCACUUUUAUUUGGGAAGAACUGUAAGUAUAGGAAAUGAUACUUACUUGACGGUACCACUUGAAUAAGCCCCCGGCUAACUACGUG